rnacentral:tRNA from 1 species
GCCCGGCUAGCUCAGUCAAUAGAGUAUGAGACUCUUGAUCUCAGGGUCUGAGUUUGAGCCCCAUGUUGGGCA